rnacentral:rRNA from 1 species
UACGUAGGUGGCAAGCGUUGUCCGGAUUUAUUGGGUUUAAAGGGUGCGUAGGCGGCUUUGUAAGUCAGUGGUGAAAUAUGGCAGCUCAACUGUCAGGGUGCCAUUGAUACUGCGGAGCUUGAGUACAGAUGAGGUAGGCGGAAUUGACGGUGUAGCGGUGAAAUGCGUAGAUAUCGGGAGGAACAUCAGUGGCGAAGGCGGCCUUCUGGUCCAGUACUGACACUCAAGUGCGAAAGCGUGGGGAGCAAACAGG